GACGAACGCUGGCGGCGUGCUUAACACAUGCAAGUCGAGCGGUAAGGCCCUUUCGGGGGUACACGAGCGGCGAACGGGUGAGUAACACGUGGGUGACCUGCCCUCAGCUCUGGGAUAAGCCUGGGAAACCGGGUCUAAUACUGGAUAUGACUCCAUGACGCAUGUUGUGGGGUGGAAAGCCUUGUGCGGCUGAGGAUGGGCCCGCGGCCUAUCAGCUUGUUGGUGGGGUGANGGCCUACCAAGGCGACGACGGGUAGCCGGCCUGAGAGGGCGACCGGCCACACUGGGACUGAGACACGGCCCAGACUCCUACGGGAGGCAGGCAGUUGGGGAAUCUUGCGCAAAUGGGCGAAAGCCCUGACGCAGCGACGCCGCGUGAGGGAUGACGGCCU
rnacentral:rRNA from 1 species